CCUACGGGAGGCAGCAGUGGGGAAUAUUGGGCAAUGGACGCAAGCCUGACCCAGCAACGCCGCGUGAAGGAAGAAGGCUUUCGGGGUGUAAACUUCUUUUAAGAGGGAAGAACAGGAGGCGGUACCUCUUGCGUAAGCCACGGCUAACUACGUGACAGCAGCCGCAGUAAUACGUAGGUGGCAGGCGUUGUCCGGAUUUACUGGGUGUAAAGGGCGUGCAGCCGGGAAGACAAGUCAGAUGUGAAAUCCCGCGGCUCAACCGCGGAACUGCAUUUGAAACUGUUUUUCUUGAGUACCGGAGAGGUCAUCGGAAUUCCUGGUGUAGCGGUGAAAUGCGUAGAUAUAAGGAAGAACACCAGUGGCGAAGGCGGAUGACUGGACGGCAACUGACGGUGAGGCGCGAAAGCGUGGGGAUCAAACAGGAUUAGAUACCCUAGUAGUC
rnacentral:rRNA from 1 species